GAUGAACGCUGGCGGCGUGCCUAAUACAUGCAAGUCGAACGCUGGAGAUCUAGCUUGCUAGAUCGAAGGAGUGGCGAACGGGUGAGUAAUACAUAAGCAACCUACCCACGAAGACUGGGAUAAUCUCUGGAAACGGGGACUAAUACCGGAUAGGUAAUCGGAAGGCAUCUUCUGGUUAUUAAAGGUUAAAAACACUGGUGGAUGGGCUUAUGGCGCAUUAGUUAGUUGGUGAGGUAACGGCCCACCAAGACGAUGAUGCGUAGCCGGCCUGAGAGGGUGAACGGCCACAUUGGGACUGAGACACGGCCCAGACUCCUACGGGAGGCAGCAGUAGGGAAUUUUCGGCAAGGGGGGCAACCCUGACCGAGCAACGCCGCGUGAGUGAAGACGGCCUUCGGGUUGUAAAGCUCUGUUGUAAGGGAAGAACGGUAGAUAGAGAAUAUCUAAGUGACGGUACCUGACCAGAAAGCCACGGCUAACUACGUG
rnacentral:rRNA from 1 species